AUUGAACGCUGGCGGCAGGCUUAACACAUGCAAGUCGAGCGGAGAUGAGGUGCUUGCACCUUAUCUUAGCGGCGGACGGGUGAGUAAUGCUUAGGAAUCUGCCUAUUAGUGGGGGACAACAUUCCGAAAGGAAUGCUAAUACCGCUAACGUCCUACGGGAGAAAGCAGGGGAUCGUCGGACCUUGCGCUAAUAGAUGAGCCUAAGUCGGAUUAGCUAGUUGGUGGGGUAAAGGCCUACCAAGGCGACGAUCUGUAGCGGGUCUGAGAGGAUGGUCCGCCACACUGGGACUGAGACACGGCCCAGACUCCUACGGGAGGCAGCAGUGGGGAAUAUUGGACAAUGGGGGGAACCCUGAUCCAGCCAUGCCGCGUGUGUGAAGAAGGCCUUAUGGUUGUAAAGCACUUUAAGCGAGGAGGAGGCUACUGAGACUAAUACCCUUGGAUAGUGGACGUUACUCGCAGAAUAAGCACCGGCUAACUCUGUGCCAGCCGCCGCAGUAACAC
rnacentral:rRNA from 1 species